UUUUAUUUUUUGAGUCUAUUUAUUGGGAUGACAUGGUUCUAUUCACUGUAACACCAUGCUAAUGUUUCCUAUCGUUUUUUGGGGGAUAACAAAGGUGCUUUGGAAGUCAGAUGGCUUCUGUGACACUGCUGGGUGGGCUCUUUGACAGAGCUGGGUCUGGUGUCAUGUCCCAAAGGAUGUUCCCUGGGCUGCACUGGCCUGUGUCCUGGGACGCCAGCUCGUCCCUCUUGCUCCUCCACUGCCAGGAACUCCAUACAUCGAGCCAACAGCACCUUCCAACUGCACCACUGCCAGUGCCUUCCUGUGAGUUCUCUGCUCCUGCCUUUCCCUUCUCAGUCCUUCCUCCAUGCAGCAACAACAGUGAUCACAAUUUAGAUAUGACGUCGUUGCUGGAAUGCUCAGUAGAAGUGACAUUAAUUCUGCACAGAAAACUACGGAGAUGCUCCUAUGGACUCAACUGAAUUUCAACAAUAACUUCGAGUUUUGCGUAUUGGUGAGUUUAAGGCCAGCCUGUUUUUUU
rnacentral:lncRNA from 1 species